CCGGCUCGACCUUGUGCGUGGACCCGCCGCAUUAUUGAGCCAACACCUUUGCGUCGGGAGCCCGACUUCGGCUGCUCCCUUGGAACGGUCGAGAGGGCACCCACCUGCUUCUGCAGGUUCAAUAACUAGGCGGGCACGGCAAGGU
rnacentral:other from 1 species